CGGAUUGGAGUCUGCAACUCGACUCCAUGAAGCUGGAUUCGCUAGUAAUCGCGCAUCAGCCAUGGCGCGGUGAAUACGUUCCCGGGCCUUGUACACACCGCCCGUCAAGCCAUGGGAGUCGGGAGUGCCUGAAGUUCGUGACCGUCACAGGAGCGACCUAAGGCAAGACCGAUGACUGGGGCUAAGUCGUAACAAGGUAUC
rnacentral:rRNA from 1 species